GGCCACCUGCUGUUUAACACAGGCUGUGUGUUCUCAUGCUGACUGUAUAGAAAGAGGAGGCAGAGCACACCUGUCCCACACACAUCCCAGACCAGGUCACUGUGCCUGGUCUGUAUUGUGAAUGGGGAGAUAUGG
ensembl:snoRNA